AUGAUGAUGUCACUGACUCUACUGCUGGGCACCCUGGGGCUCCUUGUUCAGGGUUCAUCAGGACAAAUCAUCCUGACUCAGUCUCCUGGAUCUCACUCUGCUGCUCCAGGACAGACUGUCAACAUCAGAUGUAAAACCAGUUCAUAUGUUUAUAACAGCCUCCACUGGUACCUUCAGAAAUCUGGAGAAGCUCCAAAAUUCCUGAUUUAUGCAGCUACAACCCGUCAGUCUGGAUUUUCAAAUCGUUUUAGUGGAAGUGGAUACGGCACUGACUUCACUCUGACCAUCAGUGGAGUUCAGGCUGAAGAUUCAGGAGUUUACUACUGUCAGCAGGGUUACAGCAAGUUCACACAGUGA